AAACUAACAUUUCCAAGAGUUCAUUCAGAUGAUAAUAUUGGCACUGACUUUAACAAUUAAAUAUGGGAACAGGUUAUUCAUGCACCUAUUUAGGGAAAAUGAUUAGGGUCAGGGCCCAACCAGAGAAGGAAAUGGCAACCCACUCCAGUAUUCUUGCCUAGAGAAUCCCGUGGACAGAGGAGCCUGGUGGGCUGCUGUCCAUGGGGUCACAGAGUCGGACACUACUGAAGUGACUUAGCAGCAUCAGGGCCCAACCACCUUGGUUAGGUUAGACGCUACUAUUGUUUACACUAACCCAUUCCAUAGAAUGCUUGACCAGUUUUAACCCAGAUUUUAUCAGCGACCUUCCCUCACUGUUACCAGGUCCCAUCUCUCCCACUUUGCUCUCACCCCAACCCUGAUUGAAGCUAAUGUUUUCCACAGUACUUAUUCUUGCCAAACCAAAUCAUCUCUCCCUAGAAACCUGACUAAAGAUUCCACCACAAGAGUACACACUUUAACUUGGUGUAAUUACAAUCACAGUUUUAAACUCCAUUCAGACAGACAGGGAACCAGAGGCUAUUCAAAAUUAUUUAAUUACAAGGCUAGAUUAACUAGAAGAGAGUUUUCCAUUCAAGAUAGAAAGUAAUACACUGAUUAACAGGUUAUGAUUCUACAGCAGUGUCAUGGUCAACAGAAAUGCCUUGACUCUUAUGGAUGCAUUAUUUAGACUCGAUGCUGGUUUAUAAUCUAUUUACAAACCAAUGUAAACAUAUAAUUCAUCUUGAACUUUCUUCCCACAUCCAUUGGAGGUUUUCCCAAUCACCAGAUUUUCAUAAGACAAGUAAAUCUCGCAGCACUAGCCCUAGGAAAGGAAAAACAUUUAAGGUUUACAAAACUAUCAACAUCAAAAAACUUACUUAAAACAAUUUUCAAAAAUGCUAUUGUCCUCAUAAUGGUCCACCUCAGAAGCCAGAUCCGUAUAAGGUUUUUCAACAGAAAUUCAGGUUCGGGAUAGGAUCAUCAUAGGUAAGACCAAGGACACAAUGUUUACUGAUUUUGAAGCAAAACAUCUCUACUCACAGAAAUGCUCCCACCUUCCAAAUGUCACAGCACACCGACUUCUUUCAACAGGCAGACAGCAACCCCUCACUUAUUCAUCAACCUGCAGAAUGCUGUUAAAAAACAAAAAUAUUUUUCUCAUUUAAUCUACACGUGGACUAAGCAUAUAGAGAUUCGAAGUACUAGUCGAACACAUACCUGGUAAGAUCAUCAGAUUUUAACCAAGUCAUUUUCCAGCCAAUAUUGUCCGGCAUGUUUGGAAAUGUACCUUUGCAUCUAUAAAAAAAGAAUACAAUUUCAAAUGAUGAUCAUCUUUACAGGUUGAUCAACCUGUAAAUCAACAGGUUCAGCUUAGAAGCUCUCAACACUUACCUUAGCACCUCCAUGUAACAGUUCCGCUACACCGAAAUCCAUUGUUCCUGCGGGAGAAUCAAUUUAUUAACCUGCGGAAGGAUAAAUAUAUUAAAAAAUUAAGGAUUGUCACAGAAGGUCAUAGCUGAAGGUUUUCAGCACUAAAACCUUC
ensembl:lncRNA